rnacentral:rRNA from 1 species
GGUCAAGCGAACAAGUGCAUGUGGUGGAUGCCUUGGCGAUCACAGGCGAUGAAGGACGCGGUAGCCUGCGAAAAGCUACGGGGAGCUGGCAAACGAGCUUUGAUCCGUAGAUGUCCGAAUGGGGAAACCCACUCCUUUUGGAGUAUCCAUGACUGAAUACAUAGGUCAUGUGAAGCGAACGCGGUGAACUGAAACAUCUAAGUAACCGCAGGAAAAGAAAUCAACCGAGAUUCCCAAAGUAGUGGCGAGCGAAAUGGGAAGAGCCUGUACUCUUUAUUUGUAUUGUUAGCCGAACGCUCUGGAAAGUGCGGCCAUAGCAGGUGAUAGCCCUGUAGGCGAAAACAGUAUGAAAGAACUAGGUGUACGACAAGUAGGGCGGGACACGUGAAAUCCUGUCUGAAGAUGGGGGGACCAUCCUCCAAGGCUAAAUACUCGUGAUCGACCGAUAGUGAACCAGUACCGUGAGGGAAAGGUGAAAAGAACCCCGGGAGGGGAGUGAAAUAGAUCCUGAAACCGCAUGCAUACAAACAGUCGGAGCCUCGUAAGGGGUGACGGCGUACCUUUUGUAUAAUGGGUCAGCGACUUACGUUCAGUAGCAAGCUUAACCGAAUAGGGCAGGCGUAGCGAAAGCGAGUCCGAAUAGGGCGUUCAGUUGCUGGGCGUAGACCCGAAACCAAGUGAUCUAUCCAUGGCCAGGAUGAAGGUGCGGUAACACGUACUGGAGGUCCGAACCCACUAACGUUGAAAAGUUAGGGGAUGAGCUGUGGAUAGGGGUGAAAGGCUAAACAAACUUGGAAAUAGCUGGUUCUCUCCGAAAACUAUUUAGGUAGUGCCUCGUGUCUCACCUUCGGGGGUAGAGCACUGUCAUGGUUGGGGGGUCUAUUGCAGAUUACCCCGCCAUAGCAAACUCCGAAUACCGAAGAGUGCAAUCACGGGAGACAGACAUCGGGUGCUAACGUCCGGUGUCAAGAGGGAAACAACCCAGACCGCCAGCUAAGGUCCCCAAAUAUGGCUAAGUGGGAAACGAAGUGGGAAGGCUAAAACAGUCAGGAGGUUGGCUUAGAAGCAGCCACCCUUUAAAGAAAGCGUAAUAGCUCACUGAUCGAGUCGUCCUGCGCGGAAGAUGUAACGGGGCUAAGCCAUAUACCGAAGCUGCGGAUGCGAGCUAGUCUCGCAUGGUAGGAGAGCGUUCCGUAAGCCUGCGAAGGUGCAUUGUAAAGUGUGCUGGAGGUAUCGGAAGUGCGAAUGCUGACAUGAGUAGCGAUAAAGGGGGUGAAAGGCCCCCUCGCCGUAAGCCCAAGGUUUCCUACGCAACGUUCAUCGGCGUAGGGUGAGUCGGCCCCUAAGGCGAGGCAGAAAUGCGUAGCUGAUGGGAAGCAGGUCAAUAUUCCUGCACCAUUGUUAAAUGCGAUGGGGGGACGGAUCGCGGAAGGUUGUCCGGGUGUUGGAAGUCCCGGUCGCUGCAUUGGAGAAGGCGCUUAGGCAAAUCCGGGCGCGGAAUUCAAGGGUGUGGCGCGAGCUUCUUCGGAAGCGAAGCAAUCGGAAGUGGUUCCAAGAAAAGCCUCUAAGCUUCAGUUUAACAGUGACCGUACCGCAAACCGACACAGGUGGGCGAGAUGAGUAUUCUAAGGCGCUUGAGAGAACUCGGGAGAAGGAACUCGGCAAAUUGGUACCGUAACUUCGGGAUAAGGUACGCCCCUGUAGCUUGACUGGCCUGCGCCAGAAGGGUGAAGGGGUUGCAAUAAACUGGUGGCUGCGACUGUUUAAUAAAAACACAGCACUCUGCAAACACGAAAGUGGACGUAUAGGGUGUGACGCCUGCCCGGUGCCGGAAGAUUAAAUGAUGGGGUGCAAGCUCUUGAUUGAAGUCCCGGUAAACGGCGGCCGUAACUAUAACGGUCCUAAGGUAGCGAAAUUCCUUGUCGGGUAAGUUCCGACCUGCACGAAUGGCGUAACGAUGGCCACACUGUCUCCUCCCGAGACUCAGCGAAGUUGAAGUGUUUGUGAUGAUGCAAUCUCCCCGCGGCUAGACGGAAAGACCCCAUGAACCUUUACUGUAGCUUUGCAUUGGACUUUGAACCGAUCUGUGUAGGAUAGGUGGGAGGCUAUGAAACCGGAACGCUAGUUUCGGUGGAGCCGUCCUUGAAAUACCACCCUGGUUUGUUUGAGGUUCUAACCUUGGCCCGUGAUCCGGGUCGGGGACAGUGCAUGGUAGGCAGUUUGACUGGGGCGGUCUCCUCCCAAAGUGUAACGGAGGAGUACGAAGGUACGCUAGGUACGGUCGGAAAUCGUGCUGAUAGUGCAAUGGCAUAAGCGUGCUUAACUGCGAGACCGACAAGUCGAGCAGGUGCGAAAGCAGGUCAUAGUGAUCCGGUGGUUCUGUAUGGAAGGGCCAUCGCUCAACGGAUAAAAGGUACUCUGGGGAUAACAGGCUGAUACCGCCCAAGAGUUCAUAUCGACGGCGGUGUUUGGCACCUCGAUGUCGGCUCAUCUCAUCCUGGGGCUGUAGCCGGUCCCAAGGUAUGGCUGUUCGCCAUUUAAAGAGGUACGUGAGCUGGGUUUAAAACGUCGUGAGACAGUUUGGUCCCUAUCUGCCGUGGGCGUUGGAUAUUUGAAGGGGGCUGCUCCUAGUACGAGAGGACCGGAGUGGACGAACCUCUGGUGUACCGGUUGUCACGCCAGUGGCAUCGCCGGGUAGCUAUGUUCGGAAGAGAUAACCGCUGAAAGCAUCUAAGCGGGAAACUCGCCUUAAGAUGAGAUAUCCCCGGGGACUUGAUCCCCUUGAAGGGUCGUUCGAGACCAGGACGUUGAUAGGUCAGGUGUGUAAGCGCAGUAAUGCGUUCAGCUAACUGAUACUAAUUGCCCGUAAGGCUUGAUCCU